rnacentral:rRNA from 1 species
GACAGAGGGUGCAAACGUUGUUCGGAUUUACUGGGCGUAAAGGGCUCGUAGGCGGCCAACUAAGUCCGACGUGAAAUCCCCAGGCUUAACUUGGGAACUGCGUCGGAUACUGGUUGGCUUGAAUCCGGGAGAGGGAUGCGGAAUUCCAGGUGUAGCGGUGAAAUGCGUAGAUAUCGGGAAGAACACCCGUGGCGAAGGCGGCUCUCUGGGACGGUACUGACGCUGAGACGCGAAAGCGUGGGGAGCGAACAGG